rnacentral:lncRNA from 10 species
CAAUAUUAUGAAUUUGAAAAAAGCAGCCACGCAAGUGGGAGAAGGGAAAAUGAAAUCAAGAAGGUCAUUGUCCAAGUAUUCUCACUUGUUUCUUAUCAGGGAUGAAAAUCCACAACUGAAGUUGAAGAUAGACUAAGCGGUAAACAUGGUCAGUGCCACUUUGUGGAAGAGCAGCAAGAAUCAUCUUACUCGGGCAUUUAUUCCAUGUAACUCUAUUUCAGAACUCUAAACUGACUCCAAAUCAAGUUUAAUAAUGGUCCUUCAUUGAAGUCUGAACUUCAAACCAUGGACUUCAAGUGCCUCUGUCAAUCUAUUUCUCAACUUACUAAUUGUUCUCAUUUCUUAUUUGUAACUAAUCACUGACAGUGCAUAAAAUGUGGCUUGAGCAUGAAGAAAGAAACAUAUAUAGAGAUAAUAAUUUCCUCAAUUUAGUGAAACUUACAGUCUUUUUUCUUUACCAAAAAAUGGUCCGUUUGUAAUUAAUAUUAAUUACUUGAAACUGUAAUGAUCCUCAUCAACUUCAUGAAUCAGCUAUGUAUGUGCCUUAGAAGAAGUCUACUUCAUCUCCAACCAAAGUAUAAGCCUUAUUGGUCAAAAGGCAAUCUCAUUUUCCUUGUCAGCUCUUGGUUCAAAAAGAACAUGCAACCCAGUUUCCACCAAUAAGACUUGAUGACAAGUUUGCUGGGAUGGAGAGCAUCUUUAGAAAAAUUUUCCUCCUCACUAAGAGUGGAGCACAAAAAGUUAUAAUGUCUCUUCUUUUUCUAAACAUAGUCACAUAAGGGACCACUGCAACCACACCUUUACCAUCCUGAGGAAGAAAGAUGGCAGACCUGAGGACUGGAAAGAAAGCACAUUUGACAUCAAAUUUCUUAAACAACUUAGAAACCAAUUUUUCUCUAAAUUUCUGUCUCUAAAUGUUUUCUCUAAAUUAUGUGAGAUAAUACCUUUCUCUGUUAGGCAAGUCUCUAAAGUUUUUCUUUUCCUUGAAGCAGAGAUUAUCCUAAUACAAAUGGGGUAAGGAUUAUUUCAGCUGAAAAUACGGAAUUGUUUAGUUAGUGUUUUUCCAUGUACAUUGGCCCUCUCAAAAAUUAUUUCUUUAUAUGAAAAUACAUUUUGUUAAUAUCGUGUAUAUACUACAUAAUUCCAAGGAACAUAUAAUAUUUGUCUGUAUCCAUUUCACUGUACUGAGUCAUCUGACUGGGAACCUGGUGUUUGGCAAAAAUCCUAACACAAAAUAUAGGCUAUUCAAAGCUUCACUAUAUUACUGGGAGCGGAAACGGCUGUUUGUAAAGUUCUUUUGUGACAACAUUUUUGUGAUAUAUGAAAUAAAAACAAAUGGAUUGAAUUUCUCAUAAAUCAGUGUUUAAAGUAACCAAAAUAAUGAGAGAAAAUUGUUUUUUGCCAAAAAAGAUAUAUUUUAAGUAUCACUGAAGUCAUUUCCAGCUUCUCUUUUCUAAUCCCAAUAAAUUCACUACUGAAAAUUAUGAAAGGGUUGUACAUAGCUAAAACCAAGGUUACAAAUGUGUGUGAAAAAUCUUGGCAAGUCACGUUAAAAUACAGAAUGGCACCAUGGCCUGGGUGAAGAGCAAUACUUAUUCUCCUAAUUAAAUAUAAGCAAACCUCUGAUUUCUACCUGACUCACCAAUUUGGAAUGUAGCUUUUUUGAAAUGUUUGUACCAAAAGAAAGACUAAUUGUUUUAACUUUUAAAUGAUAAAGUAACAUGCCUUAUUUCUCUCCAGACACAUUCCACUGGAACAAUAGCUAGAGAUAAUCUGUUACUCUCAGGAUAUCCUCUCAGUGUAAAUUGGGAUUUUGCAGUUCAUAACCCAUAACCAAUAGUAUAAACAAGAUGAAAUAUAGCCAUUUGUAGAGAGAGUUGCCAAAAAGAUGUGUUUUCUGUUUUCUUCAUUAUGAUCAUUUAAAAUUUUUUCAUUAAAACUUUCUUGUACUUAUUUCUUUUCUUGAAGAUAUAUUUGAAAUAAUUCAUCCGUAGGAUUCUUAGGAUUUAAACAACAGCAAGAACAAACACAACAACUUUAUUUUUUAGUGUCAUUAAUUCAAAUAGGUUAGAUUUCACUUACCAAAUCAUUCAACUUUAAUUUUUAAGCACUUAACAUAAGACAAGUACUGUAUUCAAUGCAGAAAGCAUGAUAGUAAGAUAGACACUAAGCCUAUGUCUCUGCAUUUUUCAGUCUUUAAAAGGGCAGAAAAGUAAACAAACCGUAACACCAAAUGUAUUUAGAGCUACAAUACAGGAAGUGCAAAAUCUAGUAAAAUCACAGAGCAGGAGCAAUGAGCUAGUUUAUGAGGUCAAGGAAGAUUCCUAGAGGAAAUGAUAUUUAAUUCAUGUUUUCAAAUUUGAGGUUGAUCAAUUUAGUAAAUCAAAUAGAGUAGAAAAGAACAGAAACUAUGAGGUUGCAUUGCACAUAAAAUGUGUAAGUAUUGUUUCAAGAAGUACUUUUUCCAGUUUUUUUUUUUUUUUAUCCUCUAGAAUAUAUUUAUUAAUUGUAUUUAAU